rnacentral:rRNA from 1 species
GACGAACGCUGGCGGCGUGCCUAAUACAUGCAAGUCGAACGCAGGGGGGACGGGUGAGUAACACGUGGGUAACCUCCCAUCAGAGGGGAUAACACUUGGAAACAGGUGCUAAACCGAUACUGAUGGAUGGACUCGCGGUGCAUUAGGUAGUUGGUGAGGUAACGGCUCACCAAGGCCACGAUGCAUAGCCGACCUGAGAGGGUGAUCGGCCACACUGGGACUGAGACACGGGCCAGACUCCUACGGGAGGCAGCAGUGGGGAAGCUUCCGCAAUGGACGAAAGUCUGACCGAGCAACGCCGCGUGAGUGAAGAAGGUUUGCGGAUCGUAAAGCUCUGUUGUUAGAGAGGCGGUAUCUAACCAGAAAGCCACGGCUAACUACGUGCCAGCAGCCGCGGUAAUUC